UACGGGGGGGGGCAAGCGUUUGUUCGGAAUUACUGGGCGUAAAGGGCUCGUAGGCGGCCAACUAAGUCGGAUGUGAAAUCCCCAGGCUUAACUUGGGAACUGCAUCCGAUACUGGAUGGCUUGAAUCCGGGAGAGGGAUGCGGAAUUCCAGGUGUAGCGGUGAAAUGCGUAGAUAUCUGGAGGAACACGGUGGCGAAGGCGGCAUCCUGGACCGGCAUUGACGCUGAUGAGCGAAAGCCAGGGGGAGCAAAACGGG
rnacentral:rRNA from 1 species